CCAGCCCGAUUUGUAGGAGGCCUUGAGGUUGCACAAAGCAGCCCUCCUCCGGCAGGGCCCACUCACUGCCUGCAGAGACAGGACGCUCUGCCUGCCUCCAGCUGAGCACACCAGAGGGAAAGCACCAGCAAAUUCCCUGUGAGCUCUGAGCCAAUCGGCUGCAACAGGGUCACCAGGUUCUCAACGAGUUUCAAGACCAAGUUCUGCAACCAUGCUGACGACCCCCACAUUUCAUCUCCAGCCCCACUCCCAGCUGCCUGUGCAGCAUCUCUACUGGACUUCUGAAUCCUUACCAUAGUCAAAACCAAACUGAUUCCUCCCAUAAUAUGUCGCCCCCUGGUUGUCCUCAUCCUGGUGUCGAUCUUGAGAGCACUCCCCAGCAAGCCCUGUGCGCACCAGUCUCACGGAGUCUACUUCCUGUGAUGCUCGGAACAAAUCAUCCAGUGGCUUUAUAGAAAGACUGAAGGAUCACUGGGAAAUUGGACACAGAACAGAUAAGCUGGGCCCCUGAAAAUCACACCCACCCAGCCCCAGAUGAACCAAUCCUACCUAUAUCUGCACGAACCCGGCUGUCAUCAUAUCCCUUUUACCAAAAGAACAUGGAAAGGAAGAAAAUGUGGGAAAGCCUGCUGGGGCGGAAACAUCACGCAUGAGUUAAAGGAGAACAAUGAGUGCUGGUGUGCUGAGGAAGCCAUGAGUGUGGCGGCUGUAUUGUGGUUCCGCGCUUCCUCCAAGCAAGAUCUGAUCUUACACGACGCCCAGCAGGGCUGAUGGAGACAUUCAUCACUUCCUCCCUCAACAAAAGGUGCUAAUAAAAUAAACUUUUCCUCUCA